rfam:Thelazia callipaeda genome assembly, scaffold: TCLT_contig0002933
CCAACGGCCCUCAUCAGGGCCACAAAUUAAUGAACCGAGCAUUUU